CUCCUUUCACCUUUGACCUCCCGCCAUGAUUCAUUUUUCUUUUUUCCUUUUUUCUUAGUUUGCAGAUAUAUUGUUCAGUCAAGGUCCUUCCUUGAAUGAUUCAGAAUGUAGCAUCCUCCUUUCACAAUGAAAUGAAGCAGCAAGAAGAUCCUCGCCAGAUACGUGGGCCUCUUGAUUUCAUGUCACUUCAAUUCUCUCUAGGGCCCGUUACUGUCAGAUUCCGGCAGUUGACCCUGGUGAUUUCACAGCAGCAAGCACUGCAGGCGUUCCCAACACACAAGGCAAACUCUGUAUAUGGGCUCACCACCCACAGAUCCAGCUGUCUGUCAUGUCGUUCCCAUAUUGAAGGAACAUAACCUGUUAUUAAGCCAAUUCAGCCCUGGAAGAAGGAACAAGUUUCCAAAAUGCAAUCUUU
rnacentral:lncRNA from 1 species